rnacentral:rRNA from 1 species
CAGUAGCCACGGGAGUACGAAGGGUGCAAGCGUUGCUCGGAAUGACUGGGCGUAAAGGGCGCGUAGGCGGCGAUCAAAGUCAGGCGUGAAAUUCCUGGGCUCAACCUAGGAACUGCAUCUGAUACUGUAUAGCUGGAGUAUGAUAGAGGGUAGUGGAAUUUCCGGUGUAGCGGUGAAAUGCGUAGAUAUCGGAAGGAACACCAGUGGCGAAGGCGGCUACCUGGAUUAAUACUGACACUGAGGCGCGAGAGCGUGGGGAGCAAACAGGAUUAGUACCCGCGUAGUCCCUGUCUCUUAUACA